CUUUGAGUUAUUCUACUUUGUGUUUUUUUUUUUUUUUUAAUUUAUUAUUUUCUUUCAAUACUUUAUACCCUUUAAGCUACAUGGAAAGGAAUUACUCACUAUUGACAAUAUCCAUGCAGCAAACAUUUGUUUUAGCCCGUAUCUGGAACUGUCUCAUGUUUCAAUCAAGCUGGUGAGCGGACUACAAAUCACCUGUAUGCAGAGAGCAGCACAAAAGGGACUCAGGAAGGACACACCUGCCUUCCACUGAAAAUGUUGCUCUGAUUUAUUCACAAAUGGAGCAGAAAUACUUCUAACACGUCUAAGUCCCAGAAAGACCUUGUCCGUUCUGUAAUCCAUCAGUGUCCUCAGAACAGUGAUGAAGAUCAUGCACAUGACUGCUAUAUUAUGUGCAAGAAGGCACCUAAGAAGAUGACAGAUAUAACUUCAUCACGAGGUCAUUUGCCUUAUGUGAUGAAUUGAAUUCUCUUUUGGUUCCAGGUCUCAUCUUUUGUCCUCUGUGAACUUGAGUAAACAAAAUUGUCAGUUGCUUCCCAGAACAUAUUUGUCAGAUUUCUGUUCUGUUUUUCUUUUUCUUUUUUUUUUUUUUUCCCCAGUCUCCCCUUUUUGCUUCAGAGGCGAACUGACAUCAAUGGAUGCUGUGAAGUUGUAUUUCUACUGUGCUGUGCUGCUUCUUAUAAUAAUACCAGUGCCUAGGAUUUGGCAGGCCUGGUAAAACACAAGAGAUACACAGAGUGAGGAAGAUCUGGGUUCAUACUGUCUGGAUACCUUGGGAAAAAUCACUGAGUGUGGGAAAUUAGGAAUUUAUUUUCUACCAAACUUCAAAUCACUAAGUAAAUAUCUGCAAGAAAGGUAGAAGAAUUCUGCAGACUUAAAAUUCCAAGUGGUACUCAGUCUGGAAGAGUAAGCAAAGCAGCUCUAACAGCCACUGAAGACAAAGAAAAACAAGACAACUAAUUUGGUCAGAGAGGUUAUAUGUGACCUUUUGGAGUCCUCUGGGAAGCCCUGGCUCAGAGCACGUGGAAAUAUAGCUUUCUUUUGAAAGAUGAAGAACAGGAGAAAUUAGUUCAACAAUGUCUUUGAAGUAAGACCUGGAAUUUAUCAUAGAUGAAGUCUGAAAUGCAACUUUCAUCUGUGUAUGUUCAGCCAAUGACUGAAGUGCCCAGUACCCCUCCCUACCUGCUAGUACCCUAGAGAGCAAAUUAGGAGUGGAAGCAGUAGCCAUGAUAAAAUUGAUGUUUAAAAAGAAUAAUGACCACUUUGUGGCUCUUGGUGCACAUAUGGCUCACAAGCAGAUGAAUUGUGGCUCUCAGACUUUGCCUAUGAAUUUUCCAGGAGUUCACUUGUCCUUCAGGGGAAAGGAAACACUUCAGAGCAAUUUCUUGGGUCUUUUAAAAAAAAUAGCAGGAAAAAAGCCAGAAUAUUUUCCCUGAGGAAUGCUCCGAAUUGCUGAGAGGUGUCUCCCAGUGGCCAGUGACACGGGAUUUCUAUAGCCACAUGAAAAUGCUGAUAUUGAGGGAGUAAGCUGUUUCACAAGAUGCGAGAUUACUGACUCCUCAUGCAAGCAAGGACCAUGGAAAAAACAUGGACUGAGUCAUGAUUUGCACCCGUCUGACUGUAUUGACUGUUUCACUGUGCACUCAGGAUCAAAGCAGCCAGGUGUCAGCCAGCAGCUACCUUAGCUUCAGAGGCAGAAGAAAUGCUGAAAUGCAUCACAGACACUCUUCCUUCUGACUGUGAGAUGAGCUGUAAUCCUGAGAGUAAGACCAGCUACGAGGCUGUGGUUCAAAGUCAAUUUAUAAAACCCAGAAACAUAUUCCAUUCCCAGCGUGACACUAAUGGAAUAUCUCAGUAAUGCUGACAAAUGGGUAAUAGCCCAUCCAGAGGCUGAAUUGCCAGGCAAAGAUCUCUUACCAUACCUAGACAACUCAUCUGAUACAAUGCUGAAUUAAAAUCAAAGACUUACAUUGAUUUUCUAGAAGGAGAAAAGCUAGGUAAAGAUGGAUUUCCCACCCAAUACCAAGGAGGAGCACAGUCACUUCUUCACCAUGGAUUCUAUUAUCUCUUCUUGCCUGAAGAGCUUAGAUCUAUUCAACUGUGAAAUAACUUGUCCCCAUGUUAUGCAACCUUGAUAAUUCUCUGUUUGGCGUUACUCACAGGGUAGGUGCACCACAUCUAAAGGUGGGAGCACCACAUCUAAAAAGGAAGGCAUGGAUGAGCUAUGGAAGAACUGGCUGUCACCACUGUAACCCCUUCCCUGGAUGAGCAUUAGAUGUGUCCAAGCCUUGUCAACUGCUGCCAGCCCCUGGAAGAGGAACUGCAGGCCUGCAGCCAUGAGAUACAGAAGACUGCAUUGGAGAGAGUCUGCAGUUCUUUCCCUGGUAGCAAAGAGGAGCUACUCCAGCUGAGAAUUGGUGUACUAGAGGAAUGCAAUUUGGAAGAUGUGCAUAUGUGAAAUAACUGCAAGAAUCCCAUGAAGCUCAACAAGGAGAAGUACAGAGUCCUACGAGUCCUGGUGGACAUGAGGUUGAACAUGAGUAAGCAAUGUGCCCACAGUAUUCUUGGCUGCAUUAGGCAAAGUAUCUCCAGCAGGUGAAGAGAGAAGCUCCUUCCUCUCUACUCAGACCUGGUGAGGCCACACCUGGAGUGCUGUGUCCAGUUCUGGGCUCCCCACUACAAGAGAGACCUAGACAUAAUGGGAAGGGUCCAAUGUAGGGCCACCAAGAUCAAUGAACUGGAGCACCUCUCCUGUGAGGAGAGGCUGAGACGGUUGGGACUAUUCAGCCUGGAGAACAGGAGGCUCAGGGGGUUCUUAGCAGUUACAAAUACCUAUGAAAAUGCUAUUUUCAGUGCUGCCCAGCAGCAGGACAAGAGGCAAUGGGCACAAACUAGAAUACAAGAGCUUCCGUCUAAACACUAGGAAGCACUUCUUUACUGUGUGGGUGAUAGAGCCCUGGCACAGGAUGCACAGGGACAGUGUGGGGUCUCCCUCCUUAAAAGAUAUUCAAAAGCUGCAUGGAUGUGGUCCUGGGCAACCUGCUCUGGGUGUCCCUGCUUAAGCAGGGAUGGGACCAGAUGGCUUCCAGAGGCCCCUCCCAAUCUUAACCAUUCUGUGAUUGUGAUCACAAGACUCAUGCCUGAGUAAGAGCAGAGGCAGGUAGAAUUUUCAUUUGCCCUCAAAUCUUUAUGGGAAUACAAAUAUUUACCUUUCAAAGAGAUGUGGCACAAUUAAGGAAUUUCAUAUUGGAUAGAACAUGAAGAUCUUGGAUGGGAGACUGCCUAAGUGUAAAGCAUUAGAUCAUUAAUGCAUAGUUCAUGCUUCUAGUUUCUGAUGACCAAUGUAUGCAAGUAUGCUUUUUCUAGAAAAGAAUCAUUUCUGAGGUAAUGGUGAACAGCUGGUAGAGAAUUUAUAUGAGUUGUACAUAAUAUACACAUUGAAGAAUUUGCAUAGAUAUUUCAUUUCCUUCUUAAAUGUCAUAAGUAGAGAUCACUGGUGGGUGAUACCACGUACAAUCCACCUUUUGUUAAGUUACAUAGAGCCACAGCACAUUGAUCACACAUACCAAAUAGAAGACUUUAGCUCAAGAAAAGGAAUAUAAUUGUAGAAUGGAUUUGCUUGCACAAAUUAAUGGGAAGAUUUCCACCAAAGCAAGAACAUAUGUCAUGGUAAUAUUGAUUUUGGUAUAGCCACCUCUUAAAAUACAGGCUUUACAGAGUCAAUAGUGCCUUGAUUUAGGUUCUAACCCAACCCAGAAGUCUCAAAUUCAGUUUUAUCCGCUUAUUAUUGAUUUGUCUGGCAUAGUGUGGGUUGUUGUUGUUGUUGUUUUUUUCCAGAAAUGCUUUUCUGCUCUCAAAUUUUAGCUAGCUCUCCCAGAAGAAUGUCUAAUACAGUCACAAAGAGCAAUUAUAUUCCUUACAAGUGAACUAUUGAUGAUCAUAAUAAAAAGGAAAGACAGAAGUCAUGUCAGUUUAGCUUCUGUCAGGACCUUAGAGUGCUCCCUCAUUCAAAAACACUUAUGUAAUCAACAAGCAACAAGUAAUAAGUUGCAAAAUAUGAGCAGCCCUUUAUUUCCUAUCAGGUAAGACAGCAACUUUGUAAAGCUGUGCUAUUUUUAAGGAAUAAAAUACCUUAUAACUAUCACCAAGACAUCAGUUCUUUGCUAUUCUACUACCAUACCUCUUUUUUUUUUCUCCCCUGCUACCUGACAUUUAAAUGCCUAUAAUUUUAGACAUCAGGACCACAUACCUGCAAAAAAUUUCACCAGCAGUGAGCUGAAAGACAUUAUUGCUGCCAUUUGUAGACAGCAGUUUCACCCAAUGUGCAUCUUCAGCACCUUCUUUGUCUUUUCUUGGGGUGGGAGGCAAGAUGAUGGAGCACAAAGAGACAGCACAGCUCCUUUAAUAAGCCUUAACAAUUUUGCUUUGAUUAAAUUUGUACAGUGAAAUUGAAAUCCUUUGGGUAGGAGUUGAUGAAUCAUAGAGGAAAUCAAGAGAGGAAAUAAAGCCAUGGUUAGAAGAGAUUAAACAAGCCAUAAAGUUUUCAAUAAAAGUAGCACUUAAGAACUAGAAAAAGACAUAUGUAUGUGAUUGUACGGGGUGAAAAUGUAUGUGUGUGCAGGAGGAAAGGGAAGGGCAAAUUUGUCUGGGGAGUAAAUCCAUUUAGGUCAUUAUGGUUCAAUAUGGCCAUGAUCCAAAAAAACACUUGAGCAUAUGUUUGAUUUUAACAUGUGACUGGCUGUCUUGAAACCUCAGCUCUGCUCACUUGUCAGGCUCAGGCUUAAGUGAUUUCAUCCUAGCUGCGCUCCUCUGCUGAAUUAUGUCAGCCCACUGCAAAGCCCAGAAGCCAACGGAAAGAUCAAAAUAGCUUUGGAUUGGGUAUAUCUAUGUGAAAAAUCCUUUUUUUCUGUACACAACACCCUCUGCUUUCCAGCAGAAGUAUGCUUACAUGGAGCUGGAGGAUGAGGAAUGGCUGUGGCAGUCAGAGGGGCUGUGACACUGGCACUCUGCGAGCUUCUAAUUUCUGCAGAACCGCACUGAUAUUAUGUGUGAGGUGGCACAGGAAAAGCCAUGCCUGUGCUUGCAAGCUGCAGGGAUGGAGUGAGGAAGGGCUGACUCAGGGCAGGCGGUGGUGCAAGGUUCCCCAAGCAGGAGGCAGAGCAUCUCCUCCUGGCUCCUGGGGCACAAGCAGGGUCUCCCAGGGGUCCCUGCGAAGACAACUGAUCCUGCACACAUUAGCUGUUGGUAACAAGGAAUGGGGUCUUUGAUUGUUCUUUCUACCCCAAGUUUUGUGGGGAUUUCUGGCCAGGGCAGAGGAAUGACUUUGGGCAAAGUCUGACCAAGACCAUGGUUCUGGACCACUAAUUUGAGCCACUUAACUUGGGAAAAGAGUGCACGUUUAAAUCUCGUGUAUUUUUCCCUAUCUUCUCAUCCCCGGGAAUCUACUUU